rnacentral:rRNA from 1 species
UACAGAGGUGGCAAGCGUUGUUCGGAAUUACUGGGCGUAAAGGGCGCGUAGGCGGCUUGGUCAGUCCCGUGUGAAAUCCCCUCGGCUUAACCGGGGAACUGCGUCUGAUACUGGAUGGCUGGAGUUUGGGAGAGGGAUGCGGAAUUCCAGGUGUAGCGGUGAAAUGCGUAGAUAUCUGGAGGAACACCGGUGGCGAAGGCGGCAUCCUGGACCAAUACUGACGCUGAGGAGCGAAAGCCAGGGGAGCAAACGGGG